UACGUAGGGUGCAAGCGUUGUCCGGAAUUAUUGGGCGUAAAGAGCUCGUAGGCGGUUUGUCGCGUCUGCUGUGAAAACUCGGGGCUUAACUCCGGGCCUGCAGUGGGUACGGGCAGACUAGAGUGGUGUAGGGGAGACUGGAAUUCCUGGUGUAGCGGUGGAAUGCGCAGAUAUCAGGAGGAACACCGAUGGCGAAGGCAGGUCUCUGGGCACUUACUGACGCUGAGGAGCGAAAGCGUGGGGAGCGAACAGG
rnacentral:rRNA from 1 species